rnacentral:rRNA from 1 species
AAAUUGAAGAGUUUGAUCAUGGCUCAGAUUGAACGCUGGCGGCAGGCCUAACACAUGCAAGUCGAGCGGAAACGAGUUAUCUGAACCUUCGGGGGACGAUAACGGCGUCGAGCGGCGGACGGGUGAGUAAUGCCUAGGAAAUUGCCCUGAUGUGGGGGAUAACCAUUGGAAACGAUGGCUAAUACCGCAUGAUGCCGACGGGCCAAAGAGGGGGACCUUCGGGCCUCUCGCGUCAGGAUAUGCCUAGGUGGGAUUAGCUAGUUGGUGAGGUAAGGGCUCACCAAGGCGACGAUCCCUAGCUGGUCUGAGAGGAUGAUCAGCCACACUGGAACUGAGACACGGUCCAGACUCCUACGGGAGGCAGCAGUGGGGAAUAUUGCACAAUGGG